UACGUAGGGGGCUAGCGUUGUCCGGAAUCAUUGGGCGUAAAGAGCGCGUAGGCGGUCCGAUAAGUCGGCUGUGAAAGUCAGGGGCUCAACCCUUGAAAGCCGGCCGAUACUGUCGGACUAGAGUCCGGAAGAGGCGAGUGGAAUUCCCGGUGUAGCGGUGAAAUGCGCAGAUAUCGGGAGGAACACCCGUGGCGAAGGCGGCUCUCUGGGACGGUACUGACACUGAGACGCGAAAGCGUGGGGAGCGAACAGG
rnacentral:rRNA from 1 species